UCCCCGCUUGCGCGGGCAGUCUCAUUAGAGUGCCCGGCAUUACCCGCUGGCAACUAAGGGCGAGGGUUGCGCUCGUUGCGGGACUUAACCCAACACCUCACGACACGAGCUGACGACAGCCAUGCAGCACCUGUUCUGGCUUCCCCUUGCGGGGAUCGUUGCCCUUUCAGGUUUCUACUACCAGUAUGUCAAGCCCAGGUAAGGUUCUUCGCGUUGCGUCGAAUUGAACCACAUGCUCCACCGCUUGUGCGGGCCCCCGUCAAUUCCUUUGAGUUUCAACCUUGCGGCCGUACUCCCCAGGCGGCACAUUUAAUGCGUUUGCGUCGGCACGAAGGGGGUCGAUACCCCUCACGCCUAAUGUGCAUCGUUUACAGCUAGGACUAC
rnacentral:misc_RNA from 1 species